AGGACGAACGCUGGCGGCGCGCUUAAUACAUGCAAGUCGAGCGAGAACCAGGGCUUCGGCCCUGGGGACAGCGGCGAACGGGUGAGUAACACGUGGGUAAUCAACCCCCGACACCGGGAUAGCCCAGGGAAACUUGGAUUAAUACCGGAUGCUCCAUCUGGCUUUCGAGCCGGCUGGAAAAGGGUAGCUUCGGCCUCCGGUCGGGGACGAGCCCGCGGCGGAUUAGCUUGUUGGUGAGGUAAAGGCUCACCAAGGCGACGAUCCGUAGCUGGUCUGAGAGGACGAUCAGCCACACUGGGACUGAGACACGGCCCAGACUCCUACGGGAGGCAGCAGUAGGGAAUCUUGCGCAAUGGGCGAAAGCCUGACGCAGCGACGCCGCGUGAGGGAAGAAGGCCUUCGGGUUGUAAACCUCUUUCAGGAGGGACGAAGCCACUCGGGUUAAUAGCCCAGAGGGUGACGGUACCUCCAGAAGAGCCCCGGCUAACUACGCGCCAGCAGCCGCGGU
rnacentral:rRNA from 1 species